rnacentral:sRNA from 1 species
AGUUCUCAGACGUAGGAAAUCAGUCAGCCCCGAAGCAGUAGUUAAGCCGGAGGGCUCGGAAGAACGGCACCUUUUCUUUCUCGAAAAAGUUAUAUGGGGGCUGAAUGAGCUUCUGGAGGCUUGUUUACCGUCUUUUAUUGUCACACAGGAAAAGAAACUGCCUUGUCUCCCUUCCGGGAAUUCUCUAAGACUGUUCUUACGUCUGUUGCUAGAUUAUCGUCCAAAAGUGUUAAUGCCCAAGUGACUGACAUCAACUCCAAGGGACUGGAAUUGAGGAAGACUGUUACUACAGUUGAGACUCAGAACUUGGAAGGCCUGCAUCAUGAUGGCCAAUUCUGCCAUAAGCCCUGUCCUCCAGGUGAAAGGAAAGCUAGGGACUGCACAGUCAAUGGGGAUGAACCAGACUGCGUGCCCUGCCAAGAAGGGAAGGAGUACACAGACAAAGCCCAUUUUUCUUCCAAAUGCAGAAGAUGUAGAUUGUGUGAUGAAGGACAUGGCUUAGAAGUGGAAAUAAACUGCAUCCGGACCCAGAAUACCAAGUGCAGAUGUAAACCAAACUUUUUUUGUAACUCUACUAUAUGUGAACACUGUGACCCUUGCACCAAAUGUGAACAUGGAAUCGUCAAGGAAUGCACACUCACCAGCAACACCAAAUGCAAAGAGGAAGGUAAUUUUUUUUUUACGGUUAUAUUCUCCUUUCCCCCAUCCCCAUGGAAAGAUGUGAAGAAAAACCAAUCACUCUUGAUUACUAGAAAGUCCUUUGUUUAAUCUUAAAGAUUGCUUAUUUUCAUAUAAAAUGUCUAAUGUUCCAACCUACAGGAUCCAGAUCUAACUUGUGGUGGUUGUGUCUUCUUCUUCUUUUCCCAAUUCUACUAAUUGUUUGGGGUAAGUUCUUUCUUUGUUCAAAUUGCUGAUUGAAAUAACUUGGGAAGUAGUUCACAAAGAUUUGCCUCAUUCUUACCUAUAAAAAGCUACCAGUUUGGUAGAUUUAUGUAUUGUUAAUUUCUUGCCCCUGAAUGCAG